CUUUGUCGUUUUAAAAAAUUAAAAUUUGUCGAAAUCGGGAAAGAAAUAGUAAAAGGCAAUUUUUCUACCUUUUUAUAUAAGCCUGUAAUGAAAAUUUAAAAUAUGUCUUUGGUAGAUUCAAAUAAGUUAUGUUUAUGUUGAAAAUUUCAUCGAGAUCGGUCGAUGCACUUAGAAGUUAUAGAUAAUUAACGAUAGAUAAUUAACGACGUUUCAUCUAAGAACGGAACUAGUCACGAUUUCGGUAAAUUUUAAUUUUUUAAAACGACAAAGGCACAUAUCUUAGAUAAUCAAUUUGUAUUUUGGUCCAAUUUUAAACAAGGUAUUCUGUUUUAAACGGUGGACGAAUACUUUUGCGGCAGGAUGUACAUACAUAUAAGACUUUUAUAGUUUUAGACUAAUUAUUUUAUACCUCACGGUUUACAGAACACGAGUUUCCGAAUUACAUAAAUAAGAUUACAUAAAGUAGGUAUCGGAUUAAUAUACUGCGUUAACUGGAACGUUAGAUUUUGUUACAUGACGUAACAUUGCUUUAUGCAACAAAGCACCUUGCGAACGGUCUUUCUUUCGAGGAAAGGUAUUCGUAUCGCUUAAUUAGAUGGGCGGUAAUAACAGGUGUCUUCUACCCGGAAUGGUUUAAAAUCAGAUCUUUCAACAACAAUGGGUAUAACCGAGUUUUCUGUAUAAUUAAAUAUAAUAAUUGUUAAUUAUAGGGUAAAGUCGGAAACAUAUAGAGUUACACUUAGGUUUUCUAAAAAAGAAAGUAGAAGCAAACAUUUUCUGGAUGUGGAGAGUUAACUUAAAGUAAGAGAUAUCAAUAAAAAAAAAAUAUUAUAAAAAACGAAACAAUAGGUCUAUUGUAUCGAAAGAAUGUCUGUCGAAGUAUUUUCUGUUCCAGAUGAAUCAUCGACGGAUUUUCACCGCUUAUCGCAAUGAUGUAAAGGUAAAACCUCAUCCUAUAUGGCCAGCCAAUCGUGUAGAUUGCAUUUCUUCAACAAUCACAUCAUUGUUAGCGUGCACGAUGCGUGGAGAAGGGUAUUAUGUAGUUACCAGUACAUUCGUGAAAGGUGUCGUUACUUUCUAACAUGCAAUUAUUCUAACGAAUGUUGUCGCGCCUUUCAACUCAUGCGAAUGCAUAAUGUCAUUCUAUUGCAACGGUGUUGAUACAUCGCAGACAGGACAGAGGAGUUUCGUUGACGUUGGUCGAGUUAGAAAUUUCAAGGAGAAACACUUUCACUGUCACAUUGUGUUAUCUCUUGUGUAAUUAUCACAUGCUCUAAACUGAUUAUUGUAAAGUGACUCACCCAUUUGUUUAGAUAACACUUAAUAGAUUUUGAUAGAACAAUAAUUAUAUAAAAUAGAUAUUCAAUAUGGUAGACUGAAUAUUCGAACUUGAAGUGAUGAAACAAAAAAUUGCAUCACUGUUCUGUUUAUUAACAAGUAGGUGAAUCACUGUAAUUCGUUUCCUUUUAUUCUUUGAAUUGUUUUAAACAGUGUAGAGUAUAAAAGGAGUCGAUAAUUGUACAGAGCAAUUGCAAAAAGUGUAGUCAAAGGAAAGGAGGGAGAACAUUGUGUACCCUAGAGCACUGAUUGCCUUCUAGGAACGUGAUUUAUUUAAACAGUGACGUGAUCGUUACGGUUUUCUCAAUGCCAGCGUUGUCACACCGAAGGUUUAACAGGAUAGCCGUUCACGCCAACGCUAAAACGUGCCAUGGUUUGUGGCACCGGUUUUUUAUGGACGCUUGGAUCUCAAGAAAGUGGUCCGUGUAUCGGUUGAUCGUAUCAGAUGUUAAAUAGAACAUUCGAAACCAAUGACGUUUAGUAUUUCAAAAUAAUCAGUAUUAACACGUUCGCUGUUGGACGACUAAUAUUAAUACGUCAAGGCGUUCUUUUUCUUCUAUCUGAUAGAUAUAUUAAAUGAUUGCAAAUUUAAUGCUCUAGGUGGCAAAUUAACUUUAGAUUAGACGUAUGCAACAUUGCGAAAGUGUAGGCAGGCAGUUUCACUUUCCCUCUUAUCGAACACAUUCUCACUUUUUGCAUAAAAAAAAAAGCGAACUUGUACUAUCGAACGCGAUUAAUGUUAAUUAAUAGAUCGUGUUCUCUUUGUACGAUAAUUAUGGAAAAACUUACUCUCGAGAGGAGAAAGGAGAUAUUUCACGAUUUACCGUGCAAUUUCGUUAAUAAUGUUGAGUUACGAGAAAAUUUCAUGCGAUUUGCACGGUAAAAGGUGACUGUUUUUUGUACUUUUGUUAUCGCAUUGCGUACACUAUCUGAAACGUAUAAAGCGAACCGAUAAAGUAAAUGGAUUGUAAUUUUUAGAGGAAGGUCUAUUGUUUUUGAGUAGAUUUGAUAGAUUUGAGUAUUUUCAAGAAAUAAGACCUUUUGUUUUUCCAUUUUGUUCGUCGUCUUCGCAUCUUGUCAUGUUAUUCAUCGUACCAUGACACGCUUUCGACAAGCGGAUUUUGUUUAUUAUUUCUCAUUGUAAAGACAAUUGCUCCUGGCGAGAGGUGUGUUCAACGGUUCGUAGAUCCUGAAUCACCGUUAUGUUAUAAUAAUUAGUCAGACACACGAACAGGAGAACAGGAUACGGUAGUGGGUUGCACCGAGACGAGCAGGAUCGCGUGAAAGUUUUCACGGUGCUCGUUCCUCUUGAUUCAAGAGUCUUGACCAUAUCCUGCAACCUGAUUCAUUUCGUUUUCUCGCCCGACAACUUCUCUUUAUAAGGCACACGAGAAGCUUCACCCUCAAGGUGAAACACCAUUUGCGAAACACACCUCUCGCUUGCAUGACAAACAGUUUAACUGUAUCUUGUUGCAUUCAUUUAUUUACAUAGAAAGGGUUUUGUCGAGCAAAAUUAACACUUUCGAAAAAAAUUGUUUCAGAAUUGAGAUUCAAGCGUCCAUCGCUACUCGAAUUAAAAUUAUUCUAUAUAUAAUUAGUGAUAAUAAUCGCAAAAGAGCUGUAAUUAUGUGCAUGUAAGGGAAAUAGGAAGCAAAUUAGUGCCUCGAUCAGACUCUUUUUUAAAAGCGAUUAAAUUGUUGAUUCACUCGAUAAAAUGGAUCGUUCCAACAUCAUGGCCUAGAUGCUUCGUAUUUUUCGCAUUGGACCUACAUUCCAAUAGAUAAUUGAAUUGCUCAUGACAACCUAGUUGCCUUAAGAGACAAAAUUAUAUACAUUAGGGACGAUCUCGAAUAAGGAUAAUGGAACUAGAUCAUCUUACGAAAUUUUGGAUUGAAGAGAUCACCUCUGGGCAGUUAUCCCUUCUUUCAUAAUAGAUUGACAGUGCUGUCCACUUGUAUGCAUCACUGGAUUAAUUAAUUAAUUGUAAAACAAUAAGUCAAGAUAGUGGGUGACCGUAAAAACAUGGCACAAGUAAAUUGAUAAAAAAAGAAAGUAAUAUAGUUUCUCUAUCACGAACAUCAAUUUGAAUGUAUCCGUUUCAAAAACAGGACGAUUACAAAAUGUAGGACUUGGGUUGGGUCGACAACAAUGAAAGUCAGGACCUGAAUGAAAUUUGUGAAACAGACUGAUUGCAUGUUUCUCUUCGUUUCAAGCUUUCGAGGAAAUCAUCUUUGAUUAUACGUUACGCUUGCCAGUCACUUUGUUCGAUGGUAACUUGACAAAUGCGUGUUAUUAGGGGAGAAAGUAUCAAUUACUUAAGGGAUUUUGUAAAUUUAUUAAUCGGACAGAGGUACAAUUAUCUUUUAUAACGAGUUUAUUGAUUGAUGCGUUGAUUGCCACAGUGGGAAUGGAUAUGUAUAGCCAGAGAAAUUGGAAUGACACUUAUUAGGAUAAGAUUAUAUCAUUUGUAACGCUGGUUACCGAUGACAAGCGUUAAAGAAUUUUGAAUGACGCGCGGAAAAAUUUUGUAUGCGCGGGAAUCUCCUACAUCCGUUCGAUCUGCGCAUGUGCGCAGUUUAGUGGAAUCCUUGGUGAUUAUGUUACCCCUAUGACAUUUUACGUAUUUUAAGAAAGUAAAAGGAUUCUGAAACAAACAUCGAACUCGAUGCAACCUUAUGCCCAUUCCUGCAAACUCGUCCGUCUAAUUAGCUUCAUCUGCAAUUCAGCAAAAUGUUUCUAAACAAGCAGUUUCACUUCUGAACGGGUCAUCGUUCUAAGAAAGUCCGUACGGCAUCCUCGAACGUGGGGGUUCGAAACGAUAAAAAUCGUCCUACUUUCUGGACACGUACAGUACAGAUAAGAAGACAGUCUAAGAAUUUUUAGACUAGAAAAAUAAAAGAGGACUCACCGCGAAGAACGUCAGCAGGGAUGAGUCUU